CCUGCCCCUAGAGGCAUUGCAAGUGUGGCUGUUCUGUCACAUGUGGGUCAGUAGGGGGCAGAGAGGAGAGAUGCCAUGUCUAUGCUCAGUAUUUUGACCUCUGAACAUGUGAGUGAUCAGUAGCUUAACACU